GAGAGUUCUGUGCUGGCUGGGUGUGUACCAGAUGACGCAGCAGCCAGGUGAGAGAUAAACCAUGCGUCGAGACCUGCGUUGAGGUAGAACAACUGACUGACUAUGGAAGAAGAUCAGAAGAACCCUAUCCUGAAAGAGGGAUUCCUUGUGAAACGGGGCCAUGUAGUUCACAACUGGAAGGCUCGCUGGUUUGUACUCUAUCCAGAUCAGUUGCUCUACUAUAAAUAUGACGGAGGGAAGAGAGACUCCUGUCAACGCGGGAGGAUCAUGUUGACCGAUUGUAAAAUCUCUUGUCCGUUUCUGGAGUAUGACAACCGCCCGCUGGUGUUCAAACUGCAAACCAAGAGUUCUGCCGAGUACUUCCUGGAGGCGUGUUCUCGGGAGGAGCGUGACCAAUGGGCAGUGGAUAUCGGUGCAGCGGUGGAGAAGCUCCGCCCAGCUGACUCUCCUACCCCGAGCCAGUCUAAAACCACUGGGCACCAGUCACUACAACUACACAGCGUCAGCCUGAACCAGGUAGUGGACUCUAUGUAUGAUGUCCACAGUGGCAUCAAGCUGACCAGCCACAACGAACAGGGAAGCUCCUACAGCAACUGCUUCUCAGGUUCUGCGGUGGUGGACUGGCUGGUGUUCCAUCAGCUGGCUCUGACCCGUGUAGAGGCUGUGACUCUGUCCUCGGCCGUCCUGGAGGAAGGUUUCCUACGCCCUGUAGGUCUGAGGAGCGUUGAGGCUCAGCGCAGCCAUGGACUCAGUGAGCAGUUCCUGGAUGACUCCACUGCUCUCUACAGCUUUUCAGAGAACUUUAAGAAAAGAGGCAGUGUGAAGGCUGAGACUUCCCUAUCAGCCAUGGAACUAAGUGGGAAAGUCCUGAAAAGGGGCUAUCUACUGAAACAGGGACACAAAAGAAAGAACUGGAAGGUUCGACUGUUUGUGCUGCGAUCAGAGCCAGGUUACCUUCACUACUAUGACCCCAGUAAGGUGAGUGACGAUUGGUUACCUUCACUACUAUGACCCCAGUAAGGUGAGUGACUAUUGGUUACCUUCACUACUAUGACCCCAGUAAGGUGAGUGACUACUGGUUACCUUCACUACUAUGACCCCAGUAAGGUGAGUGACUAUUGGUUACCUUCACUACUAUGACCCCAGUAAGGUGAGUGACUACUGGUUACCUUCACUACUAUGACCCCAGUAAGGUGAGUGACUAUUGGUUACCUUCACUACUAUGACCCCAGUAAGGUGAGUGACUAUUGGUUACCUUCACUACUAUGACCCCAGUAAGGUGAGUGACUAUUGGUUACCUUCACUACUAUGACCCCAGUAAGGUGAGUGACUACUGGUUACCUUCACUACUAUGACCCCAGUAAGGUGAGUGACUAUUGGUUACCUUCACUACUAUGACCCCAGUAAGGUGAGUGACUAUUGGUUACCUUCACUACUAUGACCCCAGUAAGGUGAGUGACUAUUGGUUACCUUCACUACUAUGACCCCAGUAAGGUGAGUGACUAUUGGUUACCUUCACUACUAUGACCCCAGUAAGGUGAGUGACUACUGGUUACCUUCACUACUAUGACCCCAGUAAGGUGAGUGACUACUGGUUACCUUCACUACUAUGACCCCAGUAAGGUGAGUGACUAUUGGUUACCUUCACUACUAUGACCCCAGUAAGGUGAGUGACUACUGGUUACCUUCACUACUAUGACCCCAGUAAGGUGAGUGACUACUGGUUACCUUCACUACUAUGACCCCAGUAAGGUGAGUGACUAUUGGUUACCUUCACUACUAUGACCCCAGUAAGGUGAGUGACUACUGGUUACCUUCACUACUAUGACCCCAGUAAGGUGAGUGACUACUGGUUACCUUCACUACUAUGACCCCAGUAAGGUGAGUGACUACUGGUUACCUUCACUACUAUGACCCCAGUAAGGUGAGUGACUACUGGUUACCUUCACUACUAUGACCCCAGUAAGGUGAGUGACUACUGGUUACCUUCACUACUAUGACCCCAGUAAGGUGAGUGACUACUGGUUACCUUCACUACUAUGACCCCAGUAAGGUGAGUGACUACUGGUUACCUUCACUACUAUGACCCCAGUAAGGUGAGUGACUAUUGGUUACCUUCACUACUAUGACCCCAGUAAGGUGAGUGACUACUGGUUACCUUCACUACUAUGACCCCAGUAAGGUGAGUGACGAUUGGUUACCUUCACUACUAUGACCCCAGUAAGGUGAGUGACUACUGGUUACCUUCACUACUAUGACCCCAGUAAGGUGAGUGACUACUGGUUACCUUCACUACUAUGACCCCAGUAAGGUGAGUGACUAUUGGUUACCUUCACUACUAUGACCCCAGUAAGGUGAGUGACUACUGGUUACCUUCACUACUAUGACCCCAGUAAGGUGAGUGACUACUGGUUACCUUCACUACUAUGACCCCAGUAAGGUGAGUGACUACUGGUUACCUUCACUACUAUGACCCCAGUAAGGUGAGUGACUAUUGGUUACCUUCACUACUAUGACCCCAGUAAGGUGAGUGACUACUGGUUACCUUCACUACUAUGACCCCAGUAAGGUGAGUGACGAUUGGUUACCUUCACUACUAUGACCCCAGUAAGGUGAGUGACUACUGGUUACCUUCACUACUAUGACCCCAGUAAGGUGAGUGACUACUGGUUACCUUCACUACUAUGACCCCAGUAAGGUGAGUGACUAUUGGUUACCUUCACUACUAUGACCCCAGUAAGGUGAGUGACUACUGGUUACCUUCACUACUAUGACCCCAGUAAGGUGAGUGACGAUUGGUUACCUUCACUACUAUGACCCCAGUAAGGUGAGUGACGAUUGGUUACCUUCACUACUAUGACCCCAGUAAGGUGAGUGACGAUUGGUUACCUUCACUACUAUGACCCCAGUAAGGUGAGUGACUACUGGUUACCUUCACUACUAUGACCCCAGUAAGGUGAGUGACUAUUGGUUACCUUCACUACUAUGACCCCAGUAAGGUGAGUGACGAUUGGUUACCUUCACUACUAUGACCCCAGUAAGGUGAGUGACUAUUGGUUACCUUCACUACUAUGACCCCAGUAAGGUGAGUGACGAUUGGUUACCUUCACUACUAUGACCCCAGUAAGGUGAGUGACUAUUGGUUACCUUCACUACUAUGACCCCAGUAAGGUGAGUGACGAUUGGUUACCUUCACUACUAUGACCCCAGUAAGGUGAGUGACUACUGGUUACCUUCACUACUAUGACCCCAGUAAGGUGAGUGACUAUUGGUUACCUUCACUACUAUGACCCCAGUAAGGUGAGUGACUACUGGUUACUUUCACUACUAUGACCCCAGUAAGGUGAGUGACUAUUGGUUACCUUCACUACUAUGACCCCAGUAAGGAUGACAUCAGUCCCGUGGGCGGGUUCUCUCUCCGAGGCUGUCUGGUCUCUGCUCUGGACGACAACGGUGUUCCUUCAGGUGUGAAGGGUAAAGUCCAAGGUAACCUGUUGAAGAUCAU